rnacentral:rRNA from 1 species
AUUGAACGCUGGCGGCAUGCCUUACACAUGCAAGUCGAACGGCAGCACGGGAGCAAUCCUGGUGGCGAGUGGCGAACGGGUGAGUAAUAUAUCGGAACGUGCCCAGUCGUGGGGAUAACGUAGCGAAAGCUACGCUAAUACCGCAUACGAUCUAUGGAUGGAAAGCGGGGGAUCGCAAGACCUCGCGCGAUUGGAGCGGCCGAUAUCAGAUUAGGUAGUUAGGUGAGGUAAAGGCUCACCAAGCCGACGAUCUGUAGCUGGUCUGAGAGGACGACCAGCCACACUGGGACUGAGACACGGCCCAGAC